rnacentral:rRNA from 1 species
UACGUAGGGUGCAAGCGUUAAUCGGAAUUACUGGGCGUAAAGCGUGCGCAGGCGGUUAUGUAAGACAGAUGUGAAAUCCCCGGGCUCAACCUGGGAACUGCAUCCGAGACUGCAUUGCUAGAGUAUGGGAGAGGAAAGCGGAAUUUCUGGUGUAGCAGUGAAAUGCGUAGAUAUCAGAAGGAACAUCAGUGGCGAAGGCGGCUUCUGGACCAAUACUGACGAUCAGGUGCGAAAGCGUGGGGAGCAAACAGG